rnacentral:ncRNA from 1 species
CAAAGGUUCGGUCCCAAUCUUAUUAUCAGCUCUAAUACAACUUACACAUGCAAGUCUCCGCAUCCCAGUGAAUAUACAUCAACCCCCACCAAGGAACGAAAAACGGGUAUCAGGCACAACUUACCCUUAGCCCAAGACACCCAGCCCAGCCACACCCCCAAGGGAAUUCAGCAGUGAUAAACAUUAAACCAUAAGUGAAAACUUGACUCAGUUAGUGUUAAAAGAGCCGGUAAAACUCGUGCCAGCCACCGCGGUUAGACGAGAGGCCCUAGUUGAUAAUUAUACGGCGUAAAGAGUGGUUAGGGUCAAACAAAAUAAAGCUAAAUAGCCCUUCGGCCGUUAUACGCUUCUAGGUGCCCGAAACCCAUUAUACGAAAGUAGCUUUAAUUAAAUAUUCCCGAUUCCACGAAAGCUAAGAAACAAACUGGGAUUAGAUACCCCACUAUGCUUAGCCAUAAACCUAGGCAUGCAAAUACAAUUACAUGCCCGCCAGGACAUUACGAGCAUUAGCUUAAAAUCCAAAGGACCUGACGAUGUCUCAAACCCCUCUAGAGGAGCCUGUUCUAGAACCGAUAAUCCACGUUUAACCUCACCACUCCUAGCUAUUUCAGCCUAUAUACCACCGUCGUCAGCUAACCUUGUGAGAGUAAAAAAGUAAGCAAGAUGGGCAUAACCCAGCACGUCAGGUCCAGGUGUAGCGCAUGGAGUGGAAAGAAAUGGGCUACAUUUUCUAAUACAGAACAUUACGAAUAUAUACCAUGAAACAGUACUUGAAGGAGGAUUUAGAAGUAAAAGGAAAUAGAAUAUUCCUUUGAAUCCGGCCAUGAGACGCGUACACACCGCCCGUCAUUCUCCCCAUUAAAACGCACCAAAAAUACUUAAUACUUUAGCAUUAAUUAGGGGAGGGAAGUCGUAACACGGUAAGUGUACCGGAAGGUGCACUUGGAUCAAAC